AGGUGAAAGUCAGUCGUUACAUGGUUUUCAUGUCGACUCGGGUCUCUGUUCUGGUAACAGAAUGGGACUCUAUUUUGCACCGAUCUCUGAAACACUCUGGUGGAACUUUUAUAUUCUAAUUGGUGUCUGUUUUUGUUGAUAAUAAAAAUGUUGGUAAAGGUUCAAGCUUUCUUAUCUGGCCCAAGUCUUGAAUUUUUACACGACACAGCCAUGAGGAUGAAGAGCUGGUCAGUGAUGACUCAGAGGCAAAAUGGCUUCGAGAUGCAUGUCUCCUUCAAGAAGAUCACUGAAAGUGAAUUAGACUGGAAACUAGCUGUUAAGGGACUGGCCAUCCGGCUCGCCGACUGAAGACUAGGAGCGUGCGUCACUUCAGGUUCCUUAGCACGUUUUAGACAGGUAUGUAAAUAGAGAAAUAAAUGCCCCAGAUUGUGUUUGUGAAUCCUCUUUGCCAGGCAAGGAGCAAGAGGCAGACCAGUAGCUAGAAGCAGAUGAACUAGCAGGCUGGAAAUCAGGCCAGCAGCAAGUAUGCCAGGGAUCGGGUGGACAGAAGCAAGCUGACUGACGAGAAUCAGGCAAGUCUGAGGAUCAGGCUGAAACUGAUCAACCAUUCUGGGACAGAGUCUCUUAUAUCUGGCUUCCAGGAAACCUACUCGCGAGCCAGUGACCAGGUUGCUUUAUUGUGGCUGUCCCAUUUGGAUGCUCUCCACAAGAUCCUCAGCUCAAUAAAUCCUCAGACAGAUAGGCCGAGAGCUGAGGCAGGAAGAGAUAUUCACUUCCUCCCAACUGAACCGCUGUGACCUUCAGGGAGAUCCAGCUGUUCAGAUCAUCAUCAAUUCACUUCGUACUGAAUCUCUGACAGCUUCAAAUAAACAUGUUGAAAAGAGCAGCUGCCAUUUUCAGCUCAGGAUAUCAGAACAAUAAACCACCCAGCAGUGUUCAUUGAACGCAUCAUAAUCAGUCUGUGGAGCGGAAACCACAAAACUGCCAGCCGCAGUCACAGAGGAAGGAGGAGGGUUUUACUUGAAGUGAACAUAAAAUGAUCAGAAUGUAGAUUUAACCAAGUUUCAAGAUGCAGGAAACAUCUCGACUGUGGCUGCUCUUUCUGAUCUUAUUGCUCUGCUGCACAUCUAACUAAGCUCGUUUGACUGUGAGUCCCAACAGCGCUCAGUUUUUCAUUUGGAAGUCUGUCUCUCUGAGCUGUGAGGAGGACGACAGCUCUGCUGGAUGGACGCUGAGGAGGAACACAAGCAGAGAAACCAGGACUCAGUGUGAAUCUGACUGGGGAAGAUCAGCUGGUUCUUCCUGUAACAUCAGCUACAUUUUCCCAGUGGACAGUGGAGUUUACUGGUGUGAGUCCAGAGAGGGAGCAACCAGUAACACCAUCAACAUCACUGUC